GACGAACGCUGGCGGCGUGCUUAACACAUGCAAGUCGAACGGAAAGGCCCUGCUUUUUUGGUGUUCUCGAGUGGCGAACGGGUGCGUAACACGUGAGUAACCUGCCCUUGACUUUGGGAUAACUUCAGGAAACUGGGGCUACUACCGUAUAGGAUCUCCUGCUGCAUUGUGGGGGUUGGAUAGUUUCGGCGGUUGGGGAUGGACUCGCGGCUUAUCAGCUUGUUGGUUGGGUAGUGGCUUACCAAGGCUUUGACGGGUAGCCGGCCUGAGAGGGUGACCGGCGACAUGGGGACUGAGAUACGGCCCAGACGCGUACGGGAGGCAGCAGUGGGGAAUAUUGCACAAUGGGCGGAAGCCUGAUGCAGAAGCGCCGCGUGCGGGAUGACGGCCUUCGGGUUGUAAACCGCUUUAGCCUGUGACGAAGCGGGAGUGACGGUAAUGGGUAAAGAAGCACCGGCUAACUACGUG
rnacentral:rRNA from 1 species